rfam:Pseudomonas entomophila str. L48 chromosome,complete sequence.
GCCGCAGCAAAACCUGCGGCCAGGUGUAGGAACCUGCUGGUAAACUUGGCGCACGCACUAGGCGCCCCAUCACCACGGCUGGCGCCUUUUUU